rnacentral:rRNA from 1 species
UGAACUUAAGCAUAUCCAUAAGCGGAGGAAAAGAAACCAACAGGGAUUGCCCUAGUAACGGCGAGUGAAGCGGCAACAGCUCAAAUUUGAAAGCUAGCCUUCGGGUUCGCAUUGUAAUUUGUAGAGGAUGCUUUGGGUAAAACGCCAGUCUAAGUUCCUUGGAACAGGACGUCAUAGAGGGUGAGAAUCCCGUAUGUGACUGGAAAUGUUAACCUAUGUAAAGCUCCUUCGACGAGUCGAGUUGUUUGGGAAUGCAGCUCUAAAUGGGAGGUAAAUUUCUUCUAAAGCUAAAUAUUGGCGAGAGACCGAUAGCGCACAAGUAGAGUGAUCGAAAGAUGAAAAGCACUUUGGAAAGAGAGUUAAAAAGCACGUGAAAUUGUUGAAAGGGAAGCGCUUGCAAUCAGACUUGUUUAAACUGUUCGGCCGGUCUUCUGACCGGUUUACUCAGUUUGGACAGGCCAGCAUCAGUUUCGGCGGCCGGAUAAAGGCAUUGGGAAUGUGGCCUUCACUUCGGUGGAGGUGUUAUAGCCCAGUGUGUAAUACGGCCAGCCGGGACUGAGGUCCGCGCUUCGGCUAGGAUGCUGGCGUAAUGGUUGUAAGCGACCCGUCUUGAAACACGGACCAAGGAGUCUAACAUCUAUGCGAGUGUUCGGGUGUCAAACCCCUGCGCGUAAUGAAAGUGAACGGAGGUGGGAACCGCAAGGUGCACCAUCGACCGAUCCUGAUGUCUUCGGAUGGAUUUGAGUAAGAGCAUAGCUGUUGGGACCCGAAAGAUGGUGAACUAUGCCUGAAUAGGGUGAAGCCAGAGGAAACUCUGGUGGAGGCUCGCAGCGGUUCUGACGUGCAAAUCGAUCGUCAAAUUUGGGUAUAGGGGCGAAAGACUAAUCGAACUAUCUAGUAGCUGGU